rnacentral:lncRNA from 1 species
UUCGUCCUGUUGAACACAAACCUCUUUGUGGCAAUGCUUUUUUGGCCCAUCAUGCCACCAAUCAAGUCCAUUUCUAUCUUCCUCGGCGGAAAAACCUGUGCGCCUUCUUCCAUUUGUGGUAGUAUCGGUUUGUUGCCUCUGCAAAAAUUAAAAUUAAUCACACAAUAUAUUAUAAAAUAAACAUUCAAAUCUCGAGAACUGGGUAUAUAAGUUUAUAAAAUGAGUAGAAUGAUUGGAAUAUGUGACCUUUAUACCUUGAUGUUGCAGCCCAAGCAGUGAGGAAGGAUGCUGCUGUGGAAGCAUCAGCGAUUUUGUGUGAGAAGCAGACGCCAAGAGCAAAACCUCCACACGUGAAGUGGUUGAACUGAACUGCCAUGUUCCCAGUGAGAGUUUCCCUUGCAGGGUUGUAUGGAUCGC